CAUCCAAGGAAGGCAGCAGGCGCGCAAAUUACCCACUCCCGGCUCGGGGAGGUAGUGACGAAAGAUAACGAUACGGGACUCAUCCGAGGCCCCGUAAUCGGAAUGACUACACUUUAAAUCCUUUAAGGAGUAUCAAUUGGAGGGCAAGUCUGGUGCCAGCAGCCGCGGUAAUUCCAGCUCCAAUAGCGUAUAUAAAAGUUGUUGCGGUUAAAAAGCUCGUAGUUGGAUCUGUGUCCCGC
rnacentral:ncRNA from 1 species